UCCCGUGCAUCGGUAGGUGGACUCUCAACCACUGCGCCACCAGGGAAGCCCUCAUCUAUUGUUUGGCUUCAAGAUGGCUCUCACAAUACCAGUCAUGUUAUACAAGUUCAAGGUCUUCAUACUAAAAGCAGAGAUGGAUCCCAGAGGCAGCACUUCUUCCUCCCUAAUGGUCUGAACAGUUUUCAAUGGCUAAUGGCCUAUAAACAAGUAAUGUCUUGUAGCCAUUGAGGCCAAGAGAAGUGAAAAGGAGUCUUUGACAGUUACUGGUUUUCUUGGAUAAAGCUUCUAAGCAAAACAGGGAGACUGCCAUGCCAGAAGACUCUGUUAUUCAGCCUGCAUUUGGUUCUCCAAAUUCGGGAACUUGUGGACAUCCGUGUGUCAGCAUUCAAGACAAUUUGAUGCUUCAAGGAAUCUCACAAGGUUUUUAAGUGCAAGGUGAUCAGAUAGAAUGAUGCGAGUGCUCAUCCCGAAUCAGCCACACCAGCUUGGUUUGCUGGGUAGCCCUGCUGAAGGAGGCUGCGCGGAGAGGUCAACCCUUAAUGGGUGGGAAGUUUCACUCUGUUCCCUCUCUGCAGGCUGGUGCAACAAUUUCCAGAUGAAGCUCAUUCUGGAGGAGAGGAGAGUGAGAGAGUUACCUGGUCCUCCUGUCCUGCUCUUGUCCUUCCUCUCCUUUCUGAGACUGUGCCAUCUCCCUGACCCUGGAGUUCAUGAGUUUCCCCAGGUUGCUUCCAAAAAUUCCCCCUUUGCUUGAGUUACUGAGAGGAGAGUUUCUGUUACUUGCAACUGAGAGAACUUUAAAUGACACAGCGUUCCAUGGCCUGGCACCUGCCUCUCCCUCCAGCUUCUUUUCCUGACACCUCUGCCUCAGCCUCAAGUUGCAUGCUGUCACUGUGUAUCACACUGUCGCAAGCCGCCUUGCCUCCCUAAGCAUCUUGGGCAGGGACCAGGUCUUAUUUAUCUUUGUACCCCAGCACCUGUCACAAUGCCUGGCACAUAAUAGGAAGUUAAAACAUGUUUGUUGAAUGAAAGGAAGGUAAACAGAAGUAGGAUUUUCAUUUCUGCAGGAAAAAUGAGAGCGUAAGGUGAGGAACAGAGUUUCCCUAUGGGUAGAUACCUGAAGAGGGUUCUGGCCCUAGAAAAGCAGUGAUUGUAACAGACAGUAAUGAACCUCAGAAGGGUUCGAAAGAGUGGUGCAGUCCGCGUGGAAUUAGAUCCUCUCUUUCUUGCCAUCAUAUCCUGUUUCUCUCUUCCUGAAAUAUCUGCCUCCCAUUCUACCAGUGCCAUUGUAUUAGGGGUUGGAACUGUCAGGUUACUUAGAUUCAGAGUUCUCAUUCCCUGCAUUCCAUGUCCUUGGUGAUGUGUGUGUGUUGUGUCCCCUAAUGGGAAGGGACUAAGGACAUCACUGGAAAAUAGGUGGGUCAGGAUUGUGCAUCCAGAGAGCCUAAGUCUAUCUGAGCAGCUCAGGGAAGGCUCCAAAGAGGAGGCGGCAUUUGGACUGAGACUUGAAGGAUGGUUAGGAGUUUAACAAGAGGAUGGGGAGCCCAAUGUGUUCAGGGAGCUACAAGGACUACGGCUGUAGAUUAAAAUCACGCAGCUUAAGUGAGGGCAGGAGGAGUGAUGGGGGGAAGUAAAGUUUGCACUGGAUGUUUAACAGACUCCUCACUUUGUACAUUUAAUAGACCCUGAGAUACAACUUAGCAGAAUUAUACAUACAUUUUAAAUUGCCAAGCUUACUAGAGAACCCCCUAUGCAGCCACUUUGGUUAUUUCAUGUGUCACCAUCAUAAGAAGCAAAGCCGUUAAGUAUAUAGACCCUGGAGUCAGGUUACCUGGGUUUAAUUCCCAGAUCUGCCUCUCCUAGUCCUAUGACCUUGGGCAAGUUACUUGACAUCUUCAUGCCUCUGGUGCAUGAUCUGUAAAAUGAGAAUAAUAACAGUACUUCUUGCAAUAAAUCAUAGGGAUAAAUGAGUUAAUACAUGUGAAGCCCUUAGAACAGUGCCCAGCAUGCAGCAAACACUCACGAAUUGUUAGGCACUUCAUGAUUAUUUCUCUCAUGAGGUUGUUUGCAGUCGCCAGUCAUGCACUCUGUGCAUAACCCCAUGAUAUUAAUUAUACGAUUUUAAUUGUUCAUUUGUGCAUGGUUUCUCACUGGACUGUGAAUUCCUCACAGCCAUUAGUUGAAUAAAUAUCUCUUUCCAAAGUAAUUGAAUUCAUGCAUUCAAGCAUAUUUCCUACUUACUACAUUUAUAUAUUGGUAACCCAAGGGAGCACUUCUCUUAGGAUGGUGACCAGAAGAUAACAUUAUAUUUUGGAAAUUCCUCUUUCAGGCUGGAAAAUCCUUGGUCACAGAAGCAUUUUCUUCUUUAUAAAACCAUGUUGGUCCCCCUGAGACUGCCACUGGAAAACUUGCUGCAGGGAGGUUUUGUCCCGUUCAAAGGGUUUAAAGAGCCCAGAGAAACAAGAAUAUCUGAACAUGGUCAGUUUGGCUGAAAAUUUUUAGUAGAGCCUUGUUGCAAAACUUAUAGCCAAGAAACCUCUUUCAAAGAGCCUUAACUCUCAAGAGAUGGGCCAAUUAAGAUGAGCGGAGUUUAGACAUCACUUGCAUCUGGAGAAGCUGGUCCGAUGCUCCUCAUCCGCUUGUUUUGGUUGACUUGGAGGAGAAAGGGCACGGAAGAGGUUUCCUGCUGAGACCAUAGAAUCAAAGAUAGAGUUGCCUUAGGAGAUUGGCUCCGAGUCUGCAGGACCCAGAGAGCUCCACAAAGGCUGGACCAGAGCCCCCGAGUGUGCAGAAGCAGGUGUGUGUUUGUGGGAUGCCCCGAAGGCAGUCAGAUGAGUCAGGACACUGGAAGAUAGGAGAUCUGAAUUCUAGUUUUAUCCCUUCGCAUCAGCACAAACUUCUUAAGGCCUGGGUUUCCUUUUUCUUUUUCUUUUUCUUUUUUUUUUUUUUUUUUUUGCCAUUGAAGAGUUUGAUGUAGAUUGUCUCCAAAGUUCUGUUUUUUGUGUUAAGAUUUCAGUGUUGGCCCAGCAGUGCUGGGCACAGUUUAGGUUGAGCAAAUUGGCAUUUAUAUGCAAGCCUCCCAUGGCACCCCUCACCACCAGGACCCUUGUCUCCACCCUGCUCCGUGGACCUCACCCAGCCCCACCUGCACUGCAGCCUUCCCACUUGAGCCCCCAGAGGCCCAAGCCCUUCUUGCCCGCUCUUACCUGAAGCCUGGUUGUCUUCCUCAACCCCCCGAGUGGGGGCUCCUUGUGCUCUCUCACCCCACGUGUUUCAGGCCUGGAGUCGGGAUGGGUCUGCUCCUAGCUCCCUUGAAUCUGGCCUCGGCCCUCCAGCCCUGUCACUGCUGUCCUCUCCCAACCUCCUAGUCACCUCUGUCCUCCGCUGAGCAUCCAUGAGCUUGGCUCAAUGCUUCUCUCUCCAUCCUGACUCCUGUCACCAUCUCUGGCGACUGGAACAUCCACACGGACAAUUCUGACCACACCGUAGCCUCUGAGGACCUCAAGCUCGGAGCACUUCACCUCUGAUGGUCCACACAGCAGGUACUCAAAUACGUGUUGACAACAUGUCGACAAUGGGCACAUUUGAAGAGGUUUCAUUUAUCUUCAAAAUUAUGAUACCUGUAACUAGGGUGACCAUAUAAUUUAUUUUCCAAACUGGGACAAUGAAUGAAAGAGAACACCAAAAUAAUUAAAAUUAUGUUAUUUUUGGAAGUAUUUACUUAUUGAUGACAAAUUGGUUUUUAUAUUAAGGACCCUGUAAAAUAAUUAUAUUCCAAAACUAUUUUCCAAAAUAAAAUUUUUCUUCAAAAAA